rnacentral:tRNA from 1 species
CCUUUGAUAGCUCAGCUGGCAGAGCGGAGGACUGUAGAUCCUUAGGUCGCUGGUUCGAUUCCGGCUCGAAGGA